rnacentral:hammerhead_ribozyme from 1 species
ACUGAGGAGUCCCACAAUAGGACGAAACGGCCGUCU